rnacentral:rRNA from 1 species
GGUUCGAUUCUGGCCAGAUUGAACGCUGGUGAUGCUUUACACAUGCAAGUCGAACGGCAGCACGUAGACUUCGGUCUGGUGGCGAGUGGCGAACGGGUGAGAAGAAUGUAUCGGAACGUUUAGUAGAGUGGGGAUAACUACGCGAAAGCGUAGCUAAUACCGCAUUGUCGCCCUUCGGGGGAAAGCGGGGGACCUUCGGGCCUCGCAAUUAGAGCGGCCAGAUAUCGACAUUGCUUUUGGUUGUGUAACGGUCGUCGAAAAGACAGAUCCGUAGCUGGUUUGAGAGGACGACCAGCCACACUGGGACUGAGACACGGCCCAGACUCCUACGGGAGGCAGCAGUGGGGAAUUUUGACAAUGGGGAAACCCUGAUCCAGCCAUCCUGUGUGCGAUGAAGGCCUUCGGUUGUAAAGCACUUUUGGCAGGAAAGAACGGCACGGGAUAAUACCCUGUGCAACUGACGGUACCUGCAGAAUAAGCACCGGCUAACCACGUGCCAGCAGCCGCGGUAAUACGUAGGGUGCAAGCGUUAAUCGGAAUUACUGGGCGUAAAGCGUGCGCAGGCGGUUCGGAAAGAAAGAUGUGAAAUCCCAGAGCUUAACUUUGGAACUGCAUUUUUAACUACCGAGCUAGGGUGUCAGAGGGAGGUGGAAUUCCGCGUGUAGCAGUGAAAAUGCGUAGAUAUGCGGAUGGAACACCGAUGGCGAAGGCAGCCUCCUGGGAUGCCAACACUGACGCUCAUGCACGAAAGCGUGGGGAGCAAACAGGAUUAGAUACUCCCGGUAGUCCACGCCCUAAACGAUGUCAACUAGCUGUUGGGGCCGGGCCCUUGGUAGUGCAAAUAACGUGGAAGCGACUGCCUGGGGAGUAAUGUUUCAAGAUUAAAACCCAAAGGAAUUGACGGGGACCCGCACAAGCGGUGGAUGAUGUGGAUUAAUUCGAUGCAACGCGAAAACCUUACCUACCCUUGACAUGUCUGGAAUCCCGAAGAGAUUUGGGAGUGCUCGCAAGAGAACCGGAACACAGGUGCUGCAUGGCUGUCGUCAUCAGCUCGUGUCGUGAGAUGUUGGGUUAAGUCCCGCAACGAGCGCAACCCUUGUCAUUAGUUGGGUUAUUGAAAGGGCACUCUAAUGAGACUGCCAUGAUAAACCGGAGGAAGGUGGGGAUGACGUCAAGUCCUCAUGCCCUUAGCGGGUAGGGCUUCACACGUCAUACAAUGGUCGGGACAGAGUGGUCACAACCCGCGAGGGGGAGCCAAUCCGGUGAAACCCGAUCGUAGUCCGGAUCGCAGCUUGCAACUCGACUGCGUGAAGUCGGAAUCGCUAGUAAUCGCGGAUCAGCAUGUCGCGGUGAAUACGUUCCCGGUCUUGUACACACCGCCCGUCACACCAUGGGAGUGGGUUUUACCCGAAGUAGUUAGCCUAACCGUAAGGUGAGAAGUGAGAGCUGCUUUCUAAGGUAGGAUUCAUGACUGGGGUGAAGUCGUAACAAGGUAG